CAUGCAAGUCGAGCGGACCGGAUGGGAGCUUGCUCUUGUUCGGUCAGCGGCGGACGGGUGAGUAACACGUGGGCAACCUACCCGUAAGACCGGGAUAACUCCGGGAAACCGGAGCUAAUACCGGAUAACACCGAAGACCGCAUGGUCUUCGGUUGAAAGGCGGCUUCGGCUGUCACUUACGGAUGGGCCCGCGGCGCAUUAGCUAGUUGGUGAGGUAACGGCUCACCAAGGCGACGAUGCGUAGCCGGCCUGAGAGGGUGACCGGCCACACUGGGACUGAGACACGGCCCAGACUCCUACGGGAGGCAGCAGUAGGGAAUCUUCCGCAAUGGACGAAAGUCUGACGGAGCGACGCCGCGUGAGCGAAGAAGGUCUUCGGAUCGUAAAGCUCUGUUGAUAGGGAAGAAGAAGUGCCGUUCGAAUAGGGCGGCGCGGUGACGGUACCUAACGAGAAAGCCCCGGCUAACUACGUGCCAGCAGCCGCGGUAAUACGUAGGGGGCGAGCGUUGUCCGGAAUUAUUGGGCGUAAAGCGCGCGCAGGCGGUCCCUUAAGUCUGAUGUGAAAGCNCACGGCUCAACCGUGGAGGGUCAUUGGAAACUGGGGGACUUG
rnacentral:rRNA from 1 species